GCCAGACUCCUACGGGAGGCAGCAGUGGGGGAUAUUGCACAAUGGGGGAAACCCUGAUGCAGCGACGCCGCGUGAGUGAAGAAGUAUUUCGGUAUGUAAAGCUCUAUCAGCAGGGAAGAAAGAAGACGGUACCUGACUAAGAAGCCCCGGCUAACUACGUGCCAGCAGCCGCGGUAAUACGUAGGGGGCAAGCGUUAUCCGGAUUUACUGGGUGUAAAGGGAGCGUAGACGGCAAUACAAGUCGGAAGUGAAAUACCCGGGCUCAACCUGGGAACUGCUUUGGAAACUGUAUGGCUGGAGUGCUGGAGAGGUAAGCGGAAUUCCUAGUGUAGCGGUGAAAUGCGUAGAUAUUAGGAGGAACACCAGUGGCGAAGGCGGCUUACUGGACAGUAACUGACGUUGAGGCUCGAAAGCGUGGGGAGCAAACAGGAUUAGAUACCCCUGUACG
rnacentral:rRNA from 1 species